rnacentral:tRNA from 1 species
GCUGAUGUGGCUCAGUGGUAGAGCACAUCCUUGGUAAGGAUGAGGUCGGCAGUUCAAUCCUGCUCAUCAGCU